rnacentral:sRNA from 1 species
GAAGUUUCAGCAAAGACAAAAUGUUGAGGUGAUGCAACAGGCUCAUAGAUUUGCUGGAGGAGAAUUACAGGUCCAUUAAUAUAAGAUUUGCCACUCUCUUGGAUACUCCUGGUGUGGAAAAUCUUGUCAGCACCCUCAUGUUGAAUAAAAGCAUAUUGGAGGACUUAGACCGUUACAACAAGGCUCGCAAAGACCCUGAUGGAACACCGCUGCAGGCAUUUGUAGCUGAAGUUGCAGAACAAAUAGUUGGUAUUGCAGUGAUCAGAAAUGAAAUGGACAUUGAGUACGUACGGUCCCAUUACAACAUUGAAGAUUUCAUCUACUUCAGUCACCACCAGCGCGAAGAACACGGGCACAUGCAUCACUUUGCCCUCAACCCCAUUUUCCGGCACUACACCAAGUUCUUUCUGAAGGAGAUCC